GUCGACCGUAGCUACAUACGAGCCUGAAGUCAAGCCAGAAAUAGUAUUCGAUGCAGAAGCUGAUGCAGUGAAAUGGCAGAAGCAUGAGGUCUUCCUGGACGACAAGCCUACCGAAACAAGGAGUUGGCGGCAAAGCCUCAAAAAGCCUCAAGAAGAUGAGAGCCCUCUUCAAUCACCCCGCAUAUAUGAAAUGAAGCCUGGACAUAGUGCUGGCCUCGUGGAGAUUCGACCGGCUGCCGUGUCUCUUUCAUGUUAGAAGCAACGAAAGCAUUCUUCUUGCACAACUGUUACAGGCGGUCGUACUAAG